CUUCAGGUUGAUGGAGCUGGGAUGCUAAGGACGGUUUGCUUCCAGGCGACCGACAGCAUGCAUUGGCCAGCCCCUCCCCCCUUGAAUAUGUACCCCAGGUAGGUGACCUCAAGUUGACAAAUCUGGACCUUCUUAGCAGACACUCAGUAGCCAAGUUGACUCAGUUCUCAUGUGGCCUUCCUGGAAGGUCUCCAAGUUGGGGUUGGAGGCACAAUACAUACUGGAGUACAGUCCUUACGCAGUGCCUCAAAGGUGGUGGGUGAGUUUUUGAAUCCUUGAGGCAGGUGUGUCAGUUGUCCCUUAAAACCCCUCUGCAAGUCUUGCCAUUCAAACCGCAAAUAGAAACUGGCUUUGAGUGCCAGAGGCAGGCCACAAAGCUAUUCAGUGUGGCUGAAGCUGUCAGGGGCAGUUUGGUUAACAAAAGCCAUGUUCACAGCUAUUGGUGUUCUCUGGCUUCUGGGUCAAAAGCAGGGUAGGUCCUAUAGGCUUCAAAAAGUCUUUCUAGAUAUUCUCUGAGGCUCUCAUUCUUUCUCUGCAUCACCUGGCUCACCUUAGAUAAAUUUGUGGGCCGCCCGUUAGAAUCUGGCCAUAGACCCGGAGCUUCUCACCUCUCCUUACCUUGGGGAGCGUUAAAAUCCCAGUCAAAUGAAAGGCUGCAUCGAUAGAUAUCAGCCUGAACAGAGUAGGCAGUCCAUUUGCUCCCAGAACCAAAUUUCUGGGCGGGGUCCCAGGAUCCUCUCCCUCCCACUCUGUUGUGAAGAGGACCAGGAGCAGUUGCUGACAGUCAUCCAGGAGAGGACGCCAAAGUCAAAAGACUGCAGGCCAGGGACUCAGGUUCUCGUCGGCCUCCUCUGAACUCGGCCUUUAGCCUGAUCUGCACAAGCAAAGCCUUGGAACCUCCCCGAAACUUAUUCUUAACUAAAGUAGAAACUAUUCUUGAGGGCUAUGGGGAUUUCACAGCAGUUUGGCUCCUUUUCUGGUUUCCUAAAGACGCAGAGAAGAAAGGGGCCAGAACUCUGCCAAGAGUCUCCACGCCCUUUGUACAGAUUGUGUGGCCUCUGGCCUCCUAGUAGAGCCCAGUCUCCUCAAUAAAGUCUUCAUGAUAUCAGAACUCAUGGGAGAUAGGGUCUCUGGAUUCUCCAGCUAUGGUGGGAGUACCUCCCCCCAUCCCAUUAGGUGGUGUCUGGUUUUUAUCUGUCCUCUGCCCUCGGAUGACCUCUGCAUCCUUGGGAUUCUUGGCUCAGCUCCCAGGGAGCUUUAUCUCAUAUGCCUCCUCCUGUCUUCUUCCUUCUGGCUGCUUUCCCCCCACCCCACUUCUAGAGGCUCUUCUACAGACCUCCUUCUCCCAGCUCCCUUUUGUACCCCACUUGCCUUCCUGAGCCCUCUGAGCCCUCCUCCUCCCUGCUUCCCCAACCCAGGAUCCUAUGCGCCCUCUAGUGGCAGCAGCGUUCAUUACUGCCCUACUUCCCUGGCCAUAAGGAAAUCACAGCCCAGAGACAGGAGAGCUAUAUUAGGGAACUCACUCUGCUAAGGGAACUGGCUGGCUUUGUCCCCUCUAAGCGAGCUAUUUUAUCUCAAAGGGCUCUCAGCUGUCCGUCCAUAGGACCCCUGGCUGGCCUAGCAGAUGGCCUCAUCUUCUGUUGUGGAGUUCCUUUUUCCAGGCAAAUCUUCAAAGUCUGUAAGAUGUCUUCAUAUUGGUAUGGAAGAGGAGUCCCCUGGGGACAGGCGCUGGUGCUGGGAUCCCGGAGAGCUGACCUUGUGCUCUGCCUGCUGCGUGGUACCCAGCUAGGCUGAGCUCCUUCAGCAGGACAGGAUGGCAGCGACUGAGUAACCCACCAGCAUAAAAACUAGCCAUUGGCUUCUGGGAGACCAAAAGGCGAAUUGUGCAUCCCGCAAAGCCACCAGGAUUAACUAGGUUAGAUGUGGAUACCUACAUGCCCUCAGCAGCCUCCCGUGGGAGUGAGUAAUUUCCCAGUAGGAGAAUGCUCCUACUAACCUGGUCUUGAAGUCGAGAAACACACGGGGCUGCUGCCAGCCACAGUGUUGGUAGCUGAGCUUGGGUAAGUGUUGGAUCUUUUUUGACCUGGUUGUAUUUCUCCACUUGUUGUAAGGCUGCCAACAGGCCAGAUUUUAGUACAUUAGUUGCUUUGGACCAAGGCUUGGUCUCUACUUCUUCCAGAAAGUGGGAAGCCACAUGGCAGUUCCCAGGCUGUUUGGAGAGCAAGAGAUUGGGUCCCAGCUGGAGCUGUCUGAGGCUGUGAUUCUCAAAGCCCAGUUAAGCUACUGGUAAUAGCUUUUACCUCAGGAUUUGCUUGGUGCCCUCGAAGACACAGUGCAAGGGGCCGUUUACCACUUUCUGGACACUACUCAAGCUGAUGCCCAGAGAGAGCCACACACAGACCAGUUGCUGCAGGCCAGGCUGUGACGGUCCUUAGCUGGAGGCCUGCAUUCUGUCUUCUCUGCAGGGAGGCCCUGUGUCCUCAGGCUGGCUUUCCUUAGUACGUGUGUGACCCCACAGGGAGCAUAGCUGAAGUCACAGCAUUCCUAGUAGCCUUGGCUUUGAAGUCUCUGGAGGUCACUCUGCCACAUGACCUCUGUGGGCUCUGGACUGAUUCUUCUAAUGGGAGUACUAUUUAAUGGGAACUACCUCUCACAUUUUAUUGCAUAAAGCAUGUGACUUCUUGCCUAAUGGGUGUGUAGAAGUUAAGAAAAAUGUCACGAAUUAAUUCAUGUUCAGCUCGCUUGUUACUGAACCAUGUACCACAAUAAAGGAUACAUUUUAAACCUUUAUUGGUAAUAAAGGCAAUAACUAUUUUG
rnacentral:lncRNA from 1 species